rnacentral:sRNA from 1 species
ACCAGGUAUGGUGGCACAUGCCUGUAAUCCCACCUCUUUGGGAGGUGGAGGCAGGAAAAUCACAAGUUCAAGGCUACCCUGGGCAUAUAGGGAGACUCUGUCUCAA